UCUCUCAUUUCACUUCGCAUUCUCAAAAUUCCCAAAUUGGGGAAGAAAAACUCUAGGUCCUUCUCCUCCCUUCCUCUCGGCGAAAACGCCGCUCCAGCUGGGUCACCGGAGCGCCACCGGCUCAAACUCCUCGGCGUCACCGGGUCGCCGGCGAAAUCCUCCGCCGUCGCCUUCUGCUGCUGCUCACACUUCCGUCGCUCCGUCCGGCUCUUCGUCGAGUUGCGGUUCCGCUCGCCGCUAUCUCAACCGGCGUCCUCUGGACGCACCGCCGAGGCGGCCACCGCCGUUUCCGUCAGGCGCUCCACAGGGCGGGUCGUCGUUGUCUCGCAGUCAACCCUGCUGCCGCCUCUGCGCCUAGCCGCUGCUGGUGUUACUCCGUCGGAAGAGAGGAGGGCAUCGCUUCUCUCCCCCCGCGCUACACAGCGGUGCAGCACCGCUGAGACCUCGAGACUCCGCCGUCGCCGGCAGCCGGUUCUAGUGUGCGGCACGUCGUUACUUCGUCCUCUGAUGACCGAAGUCAGUAGCUGCCGUAGCGGCGCCUCUCCGUUUUUCAACCGACUACCAAGCUCGUCUCCUCUAAUCUUAAGCUAAGCCCUCUAGUCAUCUAUCAUUUGGUGUUGAGUUCUUCUUGGGCAGUAGCAUGCUAUUUGAGAUUUCCAAGAUGUGGUGCUUCUACAUUAUGACAUUUUAAAUUGGGAGAAGGAUGAAGGGGCUGCCCUUGCAAGAAGCUUUCUGCUGGGAAGAACUUCACUCACUCACUCAAAACACUACACUUUCAAACUUGGUAUGUCGCUGGAAAAAAAAAUCGAAGUAUGUGGGAGGGGAAUUUGAUGGAGAAAAUCGGAUUUCUAGGCUAUUUGGCCUUUAAAAUUACGUAAAUGUACCCAUUUUGU